CGGGACUUACUUAGCUUGCUUUGUAAGUUUAGUGGCGGACGGGUGAGUAACACGUGAGCAACCUGCCCAGAAGAAAGGGAUAGCUCGAGGAAACUCGAAUUAAUACCAUAUGUGAUCCUGUGAAGCAUUUCGCAGGAAUGAAAGAUGCCUUCGGGUGUCACUUCUGGAUGGGCUCGCGGCCUAUCAGUUAGUUGGUGAGGUAACGGCUCACCAAGGCAAUGACGGGUAGCUGGUCUGAGAGGACGACCAGUCACACUGGAACUGAGACACGGUCCAGACACCUACGGGUGGCAGCAGUCGAGAAUCAUUCGCAAUGGGGGAAACCCUGACGGUGCGACGCCGCGUGGAGGAUGACGGUCUUCGGAUUGUAAACUCCUGUCAUCGAAGAGUAAGGCUUAUGUAUUAAUAGUAUGUAAGAUUGAUAGUAUUCGAAGAGGAAGGGACGGCUAACUUCGUGCCAGCAGCCGCGGUAAUACGAAGGUCCCAAGCGUUGUUCGGAAUCACUGGGCGUAAAGGGAGCGUAGGCGGUGAGGUAAGUCAGAUGUGAAAUUCCAGGGCUCAACCCUGGAACUGCAUCCGAUACUGCCUUACUAGAGUAGUGGAGGGGCAUCUGGAAUUCACGGUGUAGCAGUGAAAUGCGUAGAGAUCGUGAGGAACACUAGUGGCGAAGGCGAGAUGCUGGACACUUACUGACGCUGAGGCUCGAAGGCCAGGGUAGCGAAAGGGAUUAGAUACCCCUGUAGUCCUGGCAGUAAACGGUGCACGUUUGGUGUGAGAAGGUUCGACCCUUUUCGUGCCGGAGUUAACGCG
rnacentral:rRNA from 2 species